GUCAGAUGUCAUGCCACAUGUCUGUAGUUCUAACUACUCAGGAGGCUGAGGCAGGAGGAUCACUUGAGCUCCAGAGUUCAAGACCAGCCUGGUCAACAUAGCAAGCCCCUGCCUCAA
rnacentral:sRNA from 1 species